CUGCAGUGUCCAGUUACUCGCUCUCACGUUACCAGAGACACACACUCAAGUACAGUACAAAGGACACUUUCUAGCAGUGUACAGUACACUUCAGUUCAGCUCACCUUUGAGACACACUAGACGCUAAUCCAGUGUCGUUUGUGACAAAACCAAUUCAUUUACACACACACACACACACACACAAUGAUUUUUCUUCUCCUGCUUCCUAAUCUAGUGCUGUGUGUACCCAGUGCUCUGCUCUGGGCUAAAUGAGGGGUACAGAGGUCAAAGAGGGUCAGAUCGGGACAAGACUGAACGGAGCCGAGACCACCGAACUCUACAAGAGACUGACACCACCAUUCAGAAACAUUUAUUCAUCUGAAAAUGUACAAAUACAGCAUUUAUCAGCAGCAACUUCAACGUCAUAGAGUCUUCUCAGGGACAAUAGUUAAAUAUUGAAAUGGCUAAACUGCCUCAAUGAUUGACUGAGUAUUAUACUGAGAACACCAGAAGCCAAAGUAACAAGUUGUAACCUACUUUUGAAAAUGAGAACAGAAUGAAUCUGCACACAGAAGAAAAAAAAAGAACUGGGUAGAAACUUUUGAUUUGAAACAAUUAGUUUGAAUCAAAUUUCAAUGAAUACAAAGAAACAGCACGUAACACACCCAAUUAAACACAACUAGUGCCGUCAAAGGAUUAAUCGCAUCCAAAAUAUGUUUACAAAAUAUAUAUGUGUGUACUGUGUACUGUAUAUUUAUUACAUAAUUAUAAAUACACACACACACAUUAGUUUUAAUAUAUAAUAAAGUUUAAUAAAGUUUAUGCACAUGGCUCACACUCCAGAGCACUAACUCGGAUAACAAUCUCACUUCCUGUUCUCAUGGAUCCAGACAGCCUUCACUUAAGCAAACGGCGCAUUUGCCUAUAACACUACUCAUCUGUACAUGUGCAAAUAUGAUCAUCGUAGAAAUAUCUGAUGAUAUCUUGAUGCUUAUCAAGCAUCAAUGUACUGUAUUCAAAUUGACACAAUUGCGGUUUUAAAACAUGAGUCAACUAGAACGUUGAAUCUCUGGAACGGGAACCAUAGCGUCCCUCACACCAGGAAUCAUCUUCAUCAGUGUCUAUUCAUCAUCAGUAACGUCUUCAUCAGAGCGGUAGUUUCCUCCGUUUACCCGGGUGUACGGAACGCUCUGACUGCCGCCGGCUCCACAGCUGCACAGCUGUCUCCCGAACAGAGACUCGAUCUCCUCCAGACGCAGACCCUUGGUCUCCGGCAGACAGCCCACCACAAACACAAAGCCCAGCAGAGCCAGACCGGAGUACAGGAAGAACGCACCUGGACAAAGGAGACAUUUACACUGAAAUUUUCUCAUUUUCUCUAAACACAUUUCAGCAAUAGUCACCAUACAAGUAAAGAUCACAUUCUGUUUAUUUAUUAGAUGAUUCCCUAAUUCAAAGUCAAUAACCUGCUAAAACCAGCCUAAGCUGGUCUUAGCUGGAUUAAAAUGGAAAUAGCUGGCUUUAGCUGAUUGGUUGGUUUGACUCCCAGCCUGGCCAGCUAAAGAAAUGGUCAAAACCCUCUAAAACCAGC
ensembl:lncRNA